GCAGCCUGAGGCCGCCUCUGAGUGGCUCGUACCUUGCUCAGGUACCACCUUCCCUUCCGCCUCUCAAGUGACUAGAGUGGCCGGGCCAUUCUUUCCCGAGAUAAUAGGCGCCUCAGCCUCCAGCAGAAACCCGCUGAGGGCUUGCACCUUGGUCCUAGAAGCUUGAAGAUUUCAGAUUAUUUGCCCUACUGGAGAAAGGCUUGAUACAAAGUCCCAGGAGACCUAGCUGCUAUCUACAAAGACAUUUGGAAUGUUUGGCCUGAGGAGGUGAACUAUAAUGAUUUAUAGGACUUAUUGUAAAAAGAACUCAAAUUAACCCUGAACAUUGACUGGGAUUCUGGCUUUUGUAUCUAGGCUGGUACAAAAUACACAAGGGAGCAUUGGAA